GCCUUCGUGGUGUAAUGGUUAACACUCUGAGCCGGUAUUUCAGAGGUCCGUGGUUCGAUCCCCGGCGAAGGCG
rfam:Stegodyphus mimosarum contig19333, whole genome shotgun sequence.